UACGUAGGGGGCAAGCGUUGUCCGGAUUUAUUGGGCGUAAAGAGCGUGUAGGCGGCCAGGUAGGUCCGCUGUGAAAACUCGAGGCUCAACCUCGAGAUGUCGGCGGAAACCAUCUGGCUAGAGUCCGGAAGAGGAGAGUGGAAUUCCUGGUGUAGCGGUGAAAUGCGCAGAUAUCAGGAGGAACACCAAUGGCGAAGGCAGCUCGCUGGGACGGUACUGACACUGAGACGCGAAAGCGUGGGGAGCAAACAGG
rnacentral:rRNA from 1 species